UAGGGAAUCUUCGGCAAUGGGGGGAACCCUGACCGAGCAACGCCGCGUGAGUGAAGAAGGUUUUCGGAUCGUAAAGCUCUGUUGUUAAGGAAGAACGAGUGUGAGAAUGGAAAGUUCAUACUGUGACGGUACUUAACCAGAAAGGGACGGCUAACUACGUGCCAGCAGCCGCGGUAAUACGUAGGUCCCGAGCGUUGUCCGGAUUUAUUGGGCGUAAAGCGAGCGCAGGCGGUUAGAUAAGUCUGAAGUUAAAGGCAGUGGCUCAACCAUUGUAGGCUUUGGAAACUGUUUAACUUGAGUGCAGAAGGGGAGAGUGGAAUUCCAUGUGUAGCGGUGAAAUGCGUAGAUAUAUGGAGGAACACCGGUGGCGAAAGCGGCUCUCUGGUCUGUAUCUGACGCUGAGGCUCGAAAGCGUGGGGAGCGAACAGG
rnacentral:rRNA from 1 species